rnacentral:rRNA from 1 species
CCUACGGGGGGCUGCAGUGGGGAAUAUUGGACAAUGGGGGAAACCCUGAUCCAGCCAUGCCGCGUGUGUGAAGAAGGCCCUCGGGUUGUAAAGCACUUUCAGUGAGGAAGAACGCCUGGUGGUUAAUACCCAUCAGGAAAGACAUCACUCACAGAAGAAGCACCGGCUAACUCCGUGCCAGCAGCCGCGGUAAUACGGAGGGUGCGAGCGUUAAUCGGAAUUACUGGGCGUAAAGCGCGCGUAGGUGGCUUGAUAAGCCGGUUGUGAAAGCCCCGGGCUCAACCUGGGAACGGCAUCCGGAACUGUCAAGCUAGAGUGCAGGAGAGGAAGGUAGAAUUCCCGGUGUAGCGGUGAAAUGCGUAGAGAUCGGGAGGAAUACCAGUGGCGAAGGCGGCCUUCUGGACUGACACUGACACUGAGGUGCGAAAGCGUGGGUAGCAAACAGGAUUAGAUACCCGAGUAGUC